rnacentral:rRNA from 1 species
UAAGCCUACGGGACGCAGCAGUGGGGAAUAUUGCGCAAUGGGGGCAACUCUGACGCAGCAACGCCGCGUGAUUGAAGAAGGCCUUCGGGUUGUAAAGAUCUUUAAUCGGGGACGAAUUUUGACGGUACCCGAAGAAUAAGCUCCGGCUAACUACGUGCCAGCAGCCGCGGUAAUACGUAGGGAGCAAGCGUUAUCCGGAUUUAUUGGGUGUAAAGGGUGCGUAGACGGGAAAUUAAGUUAGUUGUGAAAUCCCUCGGCUUAACUGAGGAACUGCAACUAAAACUGGUUUUCUUGAGUACUGGAGG